rnacentral:ncRNA from 1 species
AGCGGGAGGGCGGUGAAUACAAUACCUUCUUCGGAGGGGAAUAAACUCGCCUGUCUGUCUUACAGGUUUCUAGCCUCCCGCUCGCCAGUG